rnacentral:lncRNA from 1 species
GUGAGUUUGACAAAUUGAAUAGCUGAUAACCCUACUUACAAAUUGGUAUGGCCUGAAAAUGACAUCAUAUAAAAGUUUAGCUAAAAUAUUAUUUUAUGAAAAUGAUACCAUAUAAAUAUUAUUUUUGUUUGAUGGAACCAAACGAAAUUGAUAGCACGAGAAAAUGGGGAUACUUCACAACAUUAUUGCAAAGAUCUCCUCAGUUGCAUCCACCAUACUGUUUCUAAGGCCGUUCUAUGUUUUGUCUAUGUUUUUCAGCUUUUGAUAUUUCAUCAACACAGAAACCAAUCUGCAGUUUGAAAAGUUCCACACACGCAUUUGCACAAGAAUAUGUAUAUGCCGGCUGAAUAAAUAUAUGUAGAAGGUUCUGAAAACUAAAUAUUCCCUAAUAUUGACAUUGAUUAAAAUCUCCAACAUAACUAGCACCAAUAAUUAUCUCCAGGGACAAAACUAAAUUGCAGUUCGAAAAGCUUGUCACA